GUCUUUAACAUUACUUAUAAAAAUGCUCCGAAAGGGGACUUAACCCCUGAAGGCUGGGUGAGGAGCCUGAAGUUUCUUCAGCUGAGCCGUGACUCAUGAAGAGUGAGCACAGGUCCAACAGACAGGAAGCAUGGUGGUCCAGUCAUGGAGGAAAGUGGAGGUGGAAACCAAAAAUACAGCAUUGCAUUAUGGCAGGCCAGACCACAGCAUGGGAGCGCAUGAUUGGGCAGACAAGAAAGACGCUCCUCAACGUGCUCCACUGGGUUCAUAAAGUGCAUCUCAAUACUAGAAAUGCAGACACUGCGGAGAGGAGAAGAAGAAGGACCACCACACAAGUCCCCUGUGGUCCACUGAUGACAUGGCCACGCUGGGUGAAAUGUCACAGCAAGGUCACAGCUGAGCUCAGUCUGCAGAGAUUAUUCAGGUUUUAA
rnacentral:lncRNA from 1 species